rnacentral:rRNA from 1 species
ACUUAAAUUGAAGAGUUUGAUCAUGGCUCAGAUUGAACGCUGGCGGCAGGCCUAACACAUGCAAGUCGAGCGGUAGCACAGGAGAGCUUGCUCUCCGGGUGACGAGCGGCGGACGGGUGAGUAAUGUCUGGGAAACUGCCUGAUGGAGGGGGAUAACUACUGGAAACGGUAGCUAAUACCGCAUAACGUCGCAAGACCAAAGAGGGGGACCUUCGGGCCUCUUGCCAUCAGAUGUGCCCAGAUGGGAUUAGCUAGUAGGUGGGGUAACGGCUCACCUAGGCGACGAUCCCUAGCUGGUCUGAGAGGAUGACCAGCCACACUGGAACUGAGACACGGUCCAGACUCCUACGGGAGGCAGCAGUGGGGAAUAUUGCACAAUGGGCGCAAGCCUGAUGCAGCCAUGCCGCGUGUAUGAAGAAGGCCUUCGGGUUGUAAAGUACUUUCAGCGGGGAGGAAGGUGUUGAGGUUAAUAACCUCAGCAAUUGACGUUACCCGCAGAAGAAGCACCGGCUAACUCCGUGCCAGCAGCCGCGGUAAUACGGAGGGUGCAAGCGUUAAUCGGAAUUACUGGGCGUAAAGCGCACGCAGGCGGUCUGUCAAGUCGGAUGUGAAAUCCCCGGGCUCAACCUGGGAACUGCAUUCGAAACUGGCAGGCUAGAGUCUUGUAGAGGGGGGUAGAAUUCCAGGUGUAGCGGUGAAAUGCGUAGAGAUCUGGAGGAAUACCGGUGGCGAAGGCGGCCCCCUGGACAAAGACUGACGCUCAGGUGCGAAAGCGUGGGGAGCAAACAGGAUUAGAUACCCUGGUAGUCCACGCCGUAAACGAUGUCGACUUGGAGGUUGUGCCCUUGAGGCGUGGCUUCCGGAGCUAACGCGUUAAGUCGACCGCCUGGGGAGUACGGCCGCAAGGUUAAAACUCAAAUGAAUUGACGGGGGCCCGCACAAGCGGUGGAGCAUGUGGUUUAAUUCGAUGCAACGCGAAGAACCUUACCUACUCUUGACAUCCAGAGAACUUUCCAGAGAUGGAUUGGUGCCUUCGGGAACUCUGAGACAGGUGCUGCAUGGCUGUCGUCAGCUCGUGUUGUGAAAUGUUGGGUUAAGUCCCGCAACGAGCGCAACCCUUAUCCUUUGUUGCCAGCGGUUAGGCCGGGAACUCAAAGGAGACUGCCAGUGAUAAACUGGAGGAAGGUGGGGAUGACGUCAAGUCAUCAUGGCCCUUACGAGUAGGGCUACACACGUGCUACAAUGGCGCAUACAAAGAGAAGCGACCUCGCGAGAGCAAGCGGACCUCAUAAAGUGCGUCGUAGUCCGGAUUGGAGUCUGCAACUCGACUCCAUGAAGUCGGAAUCGCUAGUAAUCGUAGAUCAGAAUGCUACGGUGAAUACGUUCCCGGGCCUUGUACACACCGCCCGUCACACCAUGGGAGUGGGUUGCAAAAGAAGUAGGUAGCUUAACCUUCGGGAGGGCGCUUACCACUUUGUGAUUCAUGACUGGGGUGAAGUCGUAACAAGGUAACCGUAGGGGAACCUGCGGUUGGAUCACCUCCUUACCUUAAAGAA